rnacentral:rRNA from 1 species
AACGAACGCUGGCGGCGUGCCCAACACAUGCAAGUCGUGCGAGAAAGUUCCUUCGGGAGCGAGUAAAGCGGCGCACGGGUGAGUAACACGUAGGUAACCUGCCCCCCAGUCUGGAACAACUAGAGGAAACCCUAGCUAAUGCCGGAUGAGACCACGAUCCCUUCGGGGGGUUGCGGCCAAAGAUGGCCUCUACUUGUAAGCUAUCGCUGAGGGAUGGGCCUGCGGGCCAUUAGCUUGUUGGUGAGGUAACGGCUCACCAAGGCUGUGAUGGCUAGCUGGUCUGAGAGGAUGACCAGCCACACUGGGACUGAGACACGGCCCAGACUCCUACGGAGGCAGCAGUGGGGAAUAUUGCGCAAUGGGCGAAAGCCUGACGCAGCGACGCCGCGUGGGUGAUGAAGGCC